rnacentral:rRNA from 1 species
GUGUCAGCAGCCGCGGUAAUACGGAGGGGGCUAGCGUUGUUCGGAAUUACUGGGCGUAAAGCGCACGUAGGCGGACCUACAAGUCGGGGGUGAAAUCCCGGGGCUCAACCCCGGAACGGCCUCCGAAACUGUGGGUCUGGAGGAUGAGAGAGGCGAGUGGAAUUCCGAGUGUAGAGGUGAAAUUCGUAGAUAUUCGGAGGAACACCAGUGGCGAAGGCGGCUCGCUGGCUCAUUUCUGACGCUGAGGUGCGAAAGCGUGGGGAGCAAACAGGAUUAGAUACCCUUGUAGUCC